rnacentral:rRNA from 1 species
AUUGAACGCUGGCGGCAGGCCUAACACAUGCAAGUCGAGCGGAUGAAGGGAGCUUGCUCCUGGAUUCAGCGGCGGACGGGUGAGUAAUGCCUAGGAAUCUGCCUGGUAGUGGGGGAUAACGUCCGGAAACGGGCGCUAAUACCGCAUACGUCCUGAGGGAGAAAGUGGGGGAUCUUCGGACCUCACGCUAUCAGAUGAGCCUAGGUCGGAUUAGCUAGUUGGUGGGGUAAGGGCCUACCAAGGCGACGAUCCGUAACUGGUCUGAGAGGAUGAUCAGUCACACUGGAACUGAGACGCGGUCCAGACUCCUACGGGAGGCAGCAGUGGGGAAUAUUGGACAAUGGGCGAAAGCCUGAUCCAGCCAUGCCGCGUGUGUGAAGAAGGUCUUCGGAUUGUAAAGCACUUUAAGUUGGGAGGAAGGGCAGUAAGUUAAUACCUUGCUGUUUUGACGUUACCAACAGAAUAAGCACCGGCUAACUUCGUG